CAGUAGCCGCGGGAAUACGAAGGGUGCAAGCGUUGAUCGGAAUUACUGGGCGUAAAGCGCACGCAGGCGGUUUGUUAAGUCAGAUGUGAAAUCCCCGAGCUUAACUUGGGAACUGCAUUUGAAACUGGCAAGCUAGAGUCUUGUAGAGGGGGGUAGAAUUCCAGGUGUAGCGGUGAAAUGCGUAGAGAUCUGGAGGAAUACCGGUGGCGAAGGCGGCCCCCUGGACAAAGACUGACGCUUAGGUGCGAAAGCGUGGGGAGCAAACAGGAUUAGAUACCCCGGUAGUCCCUGUCUCUUAUAC
rnacentral:rRNA from 1 species